UUUAGGUUUAGAAUUUGGCACUGGCAUUUGCUAGUUCGUCGCGCAUGUUUCAAUGCAUUCUGGGAUACUCUGCUACUGUGUGUUGGCAGGUGAAUGUAAACACGGUGGAUGGAUUUCAUCAUGGAGCCAGUAAAUGUGUUCUUCAUCUUGGGGUGGAGGAGGCAAGUUAUAGGCCAGUGAUUCCUAAACAGUGUGCCGGGGUACAUUAGCCUGCCGUGAGCGCUCUUCAGGUGUGACGUGGUAAGUUAUACAAUUUUAUGUAAUUGCAAAAAAAAAAAAAAAAAAAAAAAUAUUUCCAAGAAAUAAUGUAUCUUUAUUCAUCAGUGAGGCACAAUGACAGACAGAACAAAAAAAAUCCUCUUCUAUUAGAUGGCAGGAAGUACAUACAUUAAUUAAUCUAUCCAUUUUUGGUGACAUUUACUUUUGUUGGUGUGCCGUGGGAUUUUUCAAUUGUGAAAUAUGUGCCUUGGCUCUAUAAAGGUUGGAAAUCACUGUUAUAGGCCAUGUUCAUGGUGGAAAAAUAUUUUAAAUUGUUUAAUUUAGCCUCUUGAUACAAGUUAUUGUUGUGUGACGUAAAUACAUUAAACACAUCUAUCAUGACACCUUGAAAAAAAUGUGAGAAAUUUUAAGCAAUAAAAAAAGAUUUUCAUUUUUUUUCAUUUUGAUUGUUGGACAGGUUAUAAAGCCAUGUUCGUGGUGGAUAAAGAUUUUAAAUUGUUUAAUUUAGCCUCAUAUUUUUAUACCACAAAAACCUGACAUUGAAACGGGUGGCGUAAUUAUUUUUAUUACCACUUAUUCUUUUGGCCCUGUAAUAAAGUAAUAAAACAAAUUCUGAUUAUAUCUGACUCUUAUAGGGAAUAGUUCCUAUCAACAGAAAUGUCUCUUGUUCUUUGUUGUUGUUACUUUGUUGUUAUUUGUUCUGAAUCUCAGACCAGGGAAGCACCGACUGCCGGAAAAAAAUUCCUUGUGUUUUUACAAUACAAUGGCCAAUAAAGAUGAUUUUGAUAUUCUAAUAGACUCAAGAGCUUGACUACAAAUAACAGCUUUAGUACUUCAU